rnacentral:lncRNA from 1 species
UCAUUUUCUAAUAUAUAUCAGAUUCAUAACUUUCCCUUCUAAAUUCAUUUCUGUUAGCAAACUCCAAUACAUACCUCUCCACGAAUAACAACUCACAUAGUCACAAUUAUUUGUAUUUUCCAUUAAUAAAUAAUCAUUGAAGAAAUAUUCAGACUAUUACAAAAAUCCAGAUAUUAAGCGUCAGUGCCGCAGCGCAUCAUGAUUUGGAGAAGCAUUUAAAUCGAUUAAGAGGCUUCACAGCUACCCUCUUCAGAAUUUCCGCCUGCAUCUCUUCAUCCCAAUUUCCGUACUCCGUAUUGGGAUCACAUAAUUCUUCUCACACGUAAAAAUAUCAGUUUUAAUGUGAUGGUAAAUGUGAAUUUUUGUUUUCUUGUUUAAGUACCAAAGAAAUUUGGUCCUCUUGAUCCACUGAGGUGCAAAUAUUUUUAUUUAUUUUUUAUUUUAAGUGCGACUUAAUGCUCUCCCCUGAUAUGUCGG